GAUGAAGAACGUAGCGAAAUGCGAUAAGUAAUGUGAAUUGCAGAAUUCAGUGAAUCAUCGAAUCUUUGAACGCACAUUCGCCCAUUAGUAUUCUAGUGGGCAUGCCUGUUCGAGCGUCAUUUCAACCCUUAAGCCUAGCUUAGUAUUGGGAAUCGACUUUACUGUCGUUCCUCAAAUUCAACGGCGGAUUUAUAGCAAUCUCUGAACGUAGUAAUUUUUUUCCUCGUUUUUGAAAUACUAUAAACCUCAGCCGCUAAACCCCCAAUUUUUCUAUGGUUGACCUCGGAUCAGGUAGGAAUACCCGCUGAACUUAAGCAUAUCAAUAAGCGGGGA
rnacentral:misc_RNA from 1 species